rnacentral:rRNA from 1 species
UCGGGAAUAUUGCGCAAUGGAGGAAACUCUGACGCAGUGACGCCGCGUAUAGGAAGAAGGUUUUCGGAUUGUAAACUAUUGUCGUUAGGGAAGAAAAAAUGACAGUACCUAAGGAGGAAGCUCCGGCUAACUACGUGCCAGCAGCCGCGGUAAUACGUAGGGAGCAAGCGUUAUCCGGAUUUAUUGGGUGUAAAGGGUGCGUAGACGGGCGAUCAAGUUAGUUGUGAAAUCCCUCGGCUCAACUGAGGAACUGCAACUAAACUGGUUGUCUUGAGUGCAGGAGAGGUAAGUGGAAUUCCUAGUGUAGCGGUGAAAUGCGUAGAUAUUAGGAGGAACACCAGUGGCGAAGGCGACUUACUGGACUGUAACUGACGUUGAGGCACGAAAGUGUGGGGAGCAAACAGGAUUAGAUACC